CAAACGCUCGCCCAGGCAACGCUUAAAGGGACCGCGGCGUCGAGCAGAAGUGCGGUCCACACGAAACGAAGUUUCUGUAUAGUUCAUUGGCUGGUCUGACGCUGGUCAUUUUGCAUGACACCUGGAUUUUUCUGCAGCAGUUUAUUUCUCUAAGAUCAGCAGCAAAGGGCACUGAGAGCAUUGCAUCAUCUAGAUCAACAAGCCUGUAAGAGCGAGGAGUUGUGAAUCACAGGUGUUUUAUAUAAGAGAUGAGGACAUGACUGCUAUGGAAUGCCACCGCUGACAUAUUUAGAAAUAAAGAAAUAUCAUCAAAUAAAAAUGGUUAGCCUGAAUGCAAUGGUAAUGAGGUCAUAAAUACCUAGACGCCUCAUCGGCCGCUUUGAGCCGUUGCCGCGACACGUCAUCGCGUCCGCCAUGUUAGUGAGGGCAAGACUGCCUUAAAACUGCGGAGCUGCGGUUUUUACUGAUUAAAAACACGAUAACGUUCACACUUAUCA